rnacentral:rRNA from 1 species
CAUGUCUAAGUAUAAGCAAUUAUACAGCGAAACUGCGAAUGGCUCAUUAUAUAAGUUAUCGUUUAUUUGAUAGUACCUUACUACUUGGAUAACCGUGGUAAUUCUAGAGCUAAUACAUGCUAAAAAUCCCGACUUCGGAAGGGAUGUAUUUAUUAGAUUAAAAACCAAUGCCCUCUGGGCUCCUUGGUGAUUCAUGAUAACUCUUCGAAUCGCACGGCCUUGCGCCGGCGAUGGUUCAUUCAAAUUUCUUCCCUAUCAACUUUCGAUGUUUGGGUAUUGGCCAAACAUGGUUGCAACGGGUAACGGAGGGUUAGGGCUCGACCCCGGAGAAGGAGCCUGAGAAACGGCUACUACAUCCAAGGAAGGCAGCAGGCGCGCAAAUUACCCAAUCCCGAUUCGGGGAGGUAGUGACAAUAAAUACUGAUACAGGGCUCUUUUGGGUCUUGUAAUUGGAAUGAGUACAAUUUAAAUCUCUUAACGAGGAACAAUUGGAGGGCAAGUCUGGUGCCAGCAGCCGCGGUAAUUCCAGCUCCAAUAGCGUAUAUUAAAGUUGUUGUGGUUAAAAAGCUCGUAGUUGAACCUUGGGCCUGGCUGGCCGGUCCGCCUCACCGCGUGCACUGGUCCGGCCGGGCCUUUCCCUCUGUGGAACCCCAUGCCCUUCACUGGGCGUGGCGGGGAAACAGGACGUUUACUUUGAAAAAAUUAGAGUGCUCCAGGCAGGCCUAUGCUCGAAUACAUUAGCAUGGAAUAAUGAAAUAGGACGCGUGGUUCUAUUUUGUUGGUUUCUAGGACCGCCGUAAUGAUUAAUAGGGACAGUCGGGGGCAUCAGUAUUCAAUUGUCAGAGGUGAAAUUCUUGGAUUUAUUGAAGACUAACUACUGCGAAAGCAUUUGCCAAGGAUGUUUUCAUUAAUCAGGAACGAAAGUUAGGGGAUCGAAGACGAUCAGAUACCGUCGUAGUCUUAACCAUAAACUAUGCCGACUAGGGAUCGGACGAUGUUAUUUUUUGACGCGUUCGGCACCUUACGAGAAAUCAAAGUGCUUGGGCUCCAGGGGGAG